AUUGAACGCUAGCGGGAUGCUUUACACAUGCAAGUCGAACGGAGUGGCGGACGGGUGAGUAAUAUAUCGGAACGUGCCCAGUAGCGGGGGAUAACUACUAGAAAGAGUGGCUAAUACAGCAUACCAUUGGCGCGGCCGAUAUCGGAUUAGCCAGUUGGUGGGGUAAAGGCUCACCAAGGCAACGAUCCGUAGCUGGUUUGAGAGGACGACCAGCCACACUGGGACUGAGCCACGGCCCAGAUUCCUACGGGAGGCAGCAGUAGGGAAUUUUUGACAAUGGGGGAAACCCUGAUCCAGCCAUCCCGCGUGUAUGUUGAAGGCCUUCGGGUUGUAAAGUACUUUCAGUCGGGAGGCGUUACCGACAGAAGAAGCACCGGCUAACUCCGUGCCAGCAGCCGCGGUAAUUC
rnacentral:rRNA from 1 species